rnacentral:rRNA from 1 species
GAAAGGCCCUUCGGGGGGUACUCGAGCGGCGAACGGGUGAGUAACACGUGAGCACCCUGCCCCUGACUCUGGGAUAAGCCCGGGAAACUGGGUCUAAUACCGGAUAUGACCACUGGUCGCAUGAUCGUGUGGUGGAAAGUUUUUCGGUUGGGGAUGGGCUCGCGGCCUAUCAGCUUGUUGGUGGGGUGAUGGCCUACCAAGGCGACGACGGGUAACCGGCCUGAGAGGGCGACCGGUCACACUGGGACUGAGACACGGCCCAGACUCCUACGGGAGGCAGCAGUGGGGAAUAUUGCGCAAUGGGCGGAAGCCUGACGCAGCGACGCCGCGUGAGGGAUGACGGCCUUCGGGUUGUAAACCUCUUUCAGCAGGGACGAAGCUAACGUGACGGUACCUGCAGAAGAA